rnacentral:rRNA from 1 species
GAUGAACGCUGGCGGCGUGCCUAAUACAUGCAAGUCGAGCGAACAGACGAGGAGCUUGCUCCUCUGACGUUAGCGGCGGACGGGUGAGUAACACGUGGAUAACCUACCUAUAAGACUGGGAUAACUUCGGGAAACCGGAGCUAAUACCGGAUAAUAUAUUGAACCGCAUGGUUCAAUAGUGAAAGACGGUUUUGCUGUCACUUAUAGAUGGAUCCGCGCCGCAUUAGCUAGUUGGUAAGGUAACGGCUUACCAAGGCAACGAUGCGUAGCCGACCUGAUAGGGUGAUCGGCCACACUGGAAGUGAGACACCGUCCAGAGUCCUACGGGAGGCAGCAGUAGGGAAUCUUCCGCAGUGGGCGAAAGCCUGACGGAGCAACGCCGCGUGAGUGAUGAAGGUCUUCGGAUCGUAAAACUCUGUUAUUAGGGAAGAACAAAUGUGUAAGUAACUAUGCACGUCUUGACGGUACCUAAUCAGAAAGCCACGGCUAACUACGUG